rnacentral:rRNA from 1 species
GGGUUGUGAGGUUAAGCGACUAAGCGUACACGGUGGAUGCCCUGGCAGUCAGAGGCGAUGAAGGACGUGCUAAUCUGCGAUAAGCGUCGGUAAGGUGAUAUGAACCGUUAUAACCGGCGAUUUCCGAAUGGGGAAACCCAGUGUGUUUCGACACACUAUCAUUAACUGAAUCCAUAGGUUAAUGAGGCGAACCGGGGGAACUGAAACAUCUAAGUACCCCGAGGAAAAGAAAUCAACCGAGAUUCCCCCAGUAGCGGCGAGCGAACGGGGAGCAGCCCAGAGCCUGAAUCAGUGUGUGUGUUAGUGGAAGCGUCUGGAAAGGCGCGCGAUACAGGGUGACAGCCCCGUACACAAAAAUGCACAUACUGUGAGCUCGAUGAGUAGGGCGGGACACGUGGUAUCCUGUCUGAAUAUGGGGGGACCAUCCUCCAAGGCUAAAUACUCCUGACUGACCGAUAGUGAACCAGUACCGUGAGGGAAAGGCGAAAAGAACCCCGGCGAGGGGAGUGAAAAAGAACCUGAAACCGUGUACGUACAAGCAGUGGGAGCCUCUUUAUGGGGUGACUGCGUACCUUUUGUAUAAUGGGUCAGCGACUUAUAUUCUGUAGCAAGGUUAACCGAAUAGGGGAGCCGAAGGGAAACCGAGUCUUAACUGGGCGUUAAGUUGCAGGGUAUAGACCCGAAACCCGGUGAUCUAGCCAUGGGCAGGUUGAAGGUUGGGUAACACUAACUGGAGGACCGAACCGACUAAUGUUGAAAAAUUAGCGGAUGACUUGUGGCUGGGGGUGAAAGGCCAAUCAAACCGGGAGAUAGCUGGUUCUCCCCGAAAGCUAUUUAGGUAGCGCCUCGUGAAUUCAUCUCCGGGGGUAGAGCACUGUUUCGGCAAGGGGGUCAUCCCGACUUACCAACCCGAUGCAAACUGCGAAUACCGGAGAAUGUUAUCACGGGAGACACACGGCGGGUGCUAACGUCCGUCGUGAAGAGGGAAACAACCCAGACCGCCAGCUAAGGUCCCAAAGUCAUGGUUAAGUGGGAAACGAUGUGGGAAGGCCCAGACAGCCAGGAUGUUGGCUUAGAAGCAGCCAUCAUUUAAAGAAAGCGUAAUAGCUCACUGGUCGAGUCGGCCUGCGCGGAAGAUGUAACGGGGCUAAACCAUGCACCGAAGCUGCGGCAGCGACGCUUAUGCGUUGUUGGGUAGGGGAGCGUUCUGUAAGCCUGUGAAGGUGUACUGUGAGGUAUGCUGGAGGUAUCAGAAGUGCGAAUGCUGACAUAAGUAACGAUAAAGCGGGUGAAAAGCCCGCUCGCCGGAAGACCAAGGGUUCCUGUCCAACGUUAAUCGGGGCAGGGUGAGUCGACCCCUAAGGCGAGGCCGAAAGGCGUAGUCGAUGGGAAACAGGUUAAUAUUCCUGUACUUGGUGUUACUGCGAAGGGGGGACGGAGAAGGCUAUGUUGGCCGGGCGACGGUUGUCCCGGUUUAAGCGUGUAGGCUGGUUUUCCAGGCAAAUCCGGAAAAUCAAGGCUGAGGCGUGAUGACGAGGCACUACGGUGCUGAAGCAACAAAUGCCCUGCUUCCAGGAAAAGCCUCUAAGCAUCAGGUAACAUCAAAUCGUACCCCAAACCGACACAGGUGGUCAGGUAGAGAAUACCAAGGCGCUUGAGAGAACUCGGGUGAAGGAACUAGGCAAAAUGGUGCCGUAACUUCGGGAGAAGGCACGCUGAUAUGUAGGUGAAGCGACUUGCUCGUGGAGCUGAAAUCAGUCGAAGAUACCAGCUGGCUGCAACUGUUUAUUAAAAACACAGCACUGUGCAAACACGAAAGUGGACGUAUACGGUGUGACGCCUGCCCGGUGCCGGAAGGUUAAUUGAUGGGGUUAGCGGCAACGCGAAGCUCUUGAUCGAAGCCCCGGUAAACGGCGGCCGUAACUAUAACGGUCCUAAGGUAGCGAAAUUCCUUGUCGGGUAAGUUCCGACCUGCACGAAUGGCGUAAUGAUGGCCAGGCUGUCUCCACCCGAGACUCAGUGAAAUUGAACUCGCUGUGAAGAUGCAGUGUACCCGCGGCAAGACGGAAAGACCCCGUGAACCUUUACUAUAGCUUGACACUGAACAUUGAGCCUUGAUGUGUAGGAUAGGUGGGAGGCUUUGAAGUGUGGACGCCAGUCUGCAUGGAGCCGACCUUGAAAUACCACCCUUUAAUGUUUGAUGUUCUAACGUUGGCCCCUUAUCGGGGUUGCGGACAGUGUCUGGUGGGUAGUUUGACUGGGGCGGUCUCCUCCUAAAGAGUAACGGAGGAGCACGAAGGUUGGCUAAUCCUGGUCGGACAUCAGGAGGUUAGUGCAAUGGCAUAAGCCAGCUUGACUGCGAGCGUGACGGCGCGAGCAGGUGCGAAAGCAGGUCAUAGUGAUCCGGUGGUUCUGAAUGGAAGGGCCAUCGCUCAACGGAUAAAAGGUACUCCGGGGAUAACAGGCUGAUACCGCCCAAGAGUUCAUAUCGACGGCGGUGUUUGGCACCUCGAUGUCGGCUCAUCACAUCCUGGGGCUGAAGUAGGUCCCAAGGGUAUGGCUGUUCGCCAUUUAAAGUGGUACGCGAGCUGGGUUUAGAACGUCGUGAGACAGUUCGGUCCCUAUCUGCCGUGGGCGCUGGAGAACUGAGGGGGGCUGCUCCUAGUACGAGAGGACCGGAGUGGACGCAUCACUGGUGUUCGGGUUGUCAUGCCAAUGGCACUGCCCGGUAGCUAAAUGCGGAAGAGAUAAGUGCUGAAAGCAUCUAAGCACGAAACUUGCCCCGAGAUGAGUUCUCCCUGACCCUUUAAGGGUCCUGAAGGAACGUUGAAGACGACGACGUUGAUAGGCCGGGUGUGUAAGCGCAGCGAUGCGUUGAGCUAACCGGUACUAAUGAACCGUGAGGCUUAACCUUACAACGCCGAAGGUGUUU